rnacentral:pre_miRNA from 1 species
ACUGGACUUGGAGGCAGAAAGGGAGCCAGCUGACUGAGAGAUCUGACCUUCAGCAGAGG